GAAAUGCGAUACGUAGUGUGAAUUGCAGAAAUACGUGAAUCAUCGAAUCUUUGAACGCAUAUUGCACUCGAGGCUUCGGCCAAGAGCAUGUCUGCCUCAGCGUCGGGUUAAUACUCGUCCCAAACACACCUGUGUGCUUGGGUGCGGACCUGGCUGUCUCGGCGCAAUUAGUUUUGCGCCGGGUCAGCUGAAGAACAGAGGUUGAUGCAUGGACCCGUUACACGGGCCUCUACUGGGUAGGCAGCUCUGCUUGCUAAUGCUUUAGUAGAUGGCUUGGGACCGUGCUUCGUCGACCCAAACCAGGAACUCGGAUUCGUUCGAGCACCCCUUUAUUUCCUCGACCUGAGCUCAGGCAAGAUUACCCGCUGAACUUAA
rnacentral:misc_RNA from 1 species